rnacentral:rRNA from 1 species
GACGAACGCUGGCGGCGUGCUUAACACAUGCAAGUCGUACGGAAAGGCCCUUUCUGGGGUGCGCGCGCGGGGAGCGGAUGAGUAAGACGCACGUAACCAGCCCACCCCUUAGGGUUAAAUAUAGGAAACUGACGCGAAUUAAUGACAUGUGCGACCUCCUGCUGGAUGGGGUGGGUAAGCUACGGGCGUUGUGGAUGGACUCGCGGGCUAUUUGCCUGUUGGUGGGGUAGUGGCCUACCAAGGCGGCGACGGGUAGCCGGCCUGAGAGGGUGACCGGCCACAUUGGGACUGAGAUACGGCCCAGACGCCUAAGGGAGGCAGCAGGGGGGAAUAUUGCACAAUGGGCGCAAGCCCGAUGCAGGAACGCCGCGGGCGGGAUGACGGGCUUCGGGUUGGAAAACGCUUUCAGCAGGGACGAAGCUGUUUGUGACGGUACCUGCAGAAGAAGCACCGGCUAACUACGUG